GACAGAGGUGCCGAGCGUUAGGCGGAAUCACUGGGCUUAAAGCGUGUGUAGGCGGAUCGUUAAGUGCCUUGUGAAAUCCCACGGCUUAACCGUGGAACUGCUUGGCAUACUGGCGGUCUUGAGCCAGCUAGGGGCUACCGGAACAAAUGGUGGAGCGGUGAAAUGCGUAGAUAUCAUUUGGAACGCCAAUGGUGAAAACAGGUAGCUGGGGCUGUGCUGACGCUGAGACACGAAAGCCAGGGGAGCGAACGGG
rnacentral:rRNA from 1 species